UGUAUAAGUUAUCAAGUCUAGCCUGCCCCCGGAUUGAUUUAAAGGGCCGCGGUAAUUUGACCGUGUGAAGGUAGCAUAGUCAGUAGUCUAUUAAUUGAAGGCUUGAAUGAAAGGUUGGACGAGGGAUGAGCUGUCUCCCCUACGUAAUGGGAAUUUAACUUUUGAGUGAAAAGGCUCAAAUUAUUUCCUGGGAAGAUAAGUUCCUAUUAAACUUUCUAUAAGUUUAAUUUGGCCUUCAACCUUAGUUUAAAGUAGCCUUAUUAGGUUUAUAUUUCGUUGGGGAGAUGUAGAUAUAAUGUGUAACUGUCUGUUUAAUUUAAUAAUUAUAAUUAGUGUGUGAUCCUUCUUUGUGGAUUAAAAGUAUAAGUUACUUUAGGGAUAACAGCGUGAUUUUCUUAGAGAGUUCUUAUCGACAAGUGUA
rnacentral:rRNA from 1 species